AAAUGUCAGUGACACCCUGAACGGAUGGU
rnacentral:piRNA from 1 species